rnacentral:rRNA from 1 species
UAGGGAAUCUUCCACAAUGGACGCAAGUCUGAUGGAGCAACGCCGCGUGAGUGAAGAAGGUUUUCGGAUCGUAAAGCUCUGUUGUUGGUGAAGAAGGAUAGAGGUAGUAACUGGCCUUUAUUUGACGGUAAUCAACCAGAAAGUCACGGCUAAUUACGUGCCAGCAGCCGCGGUAAUACGUAGGUGGCAAGCGUUGUCCGGAUUUAUUGGGCGUAAAGCGAGCGCAGGCGGAAGAAUAAGUCUGAUGUGAAAGCCCUCGGCUUAACCGAGGAACUGCAUCGGAAACUGUUUUUCUUGAGUGCAGAAGAGGAGAGUGGAAUUCCAUGUGUAGCGGUGGAAUGCGUAGAUAUAUGGAAGAACACCAGUGGCGAAGGCGACUCUCUGGUCUGCAACUGACGCUGAGGCUCGAAAGCAUGGGUAGCGAACAGG